rnacentral:rRNA from 1 species
AGUGAACGCUGGCGGUAGGCCUAACACAUGCAAGUCGAACGGCAGCACAGUAAGAGCUUGCUCUUACGGGUGGCGAGUGGCGGACGGGCGAGGAAUACAUCGGAAUCUACUUUUUCGUGGGGGAUAACGUAGGGAAACUUACGCUAAUACCGCAUACGACCUAUGGGUGAAAGCAGGGGAUCUUCGGACCUUGCGCGAUUGAAUGAGCCGAUGUCGGAUUAGCUAGUUGGCGGGGUAAAGGCCCACCAAGGCGACGAUCCGUAGCUGGUCUGAGAGGAUGAUCAGCCACACUGGAACUGAGACACGGUCCAGACUCCUACGGGAGGCAGCAGUGGGGAAUAUUGGACAAUGGGCGCAAGCCUGAUCCAGCCAUACCGCGUGGGUGAAGAAGGCCUUCGGGUUGUAAAGCCCUUUUGUUGGGAAAGAAAAGCAGCAGGUUAAUACCCCGCUGUUCUGACGGUACCCAAAGAAUAAGCACCGGCUAACUUCGUG